GCAGUUGCUCGUUGUCGAGGACUUCGUGAGUUUAAGGACGAGACAACAGAGCGCACGAGUGCGCGCGCUAAUGUCCCAAGUGCAGUUAUCUAAGAGUGACUUUUAGGAGAAUCGGUGUCUCAAAACUAUCUCACGAACAUCCGUUAGGCGGAGAUGCUUGAACGUAGAUAGAGGAAAAGGAGAUGAGGGAGAGGGGAACGAACACGAAAGUGAUGUCAAUGCAAGUGCGCGCGCGCGAAGAAGGCGCCAAUGAAUUUUCUAGGAGAUUAAAUGCAAGAGGAAUCGCUUGCGAAAUAUGCAUUGGCAAAUGUUAAGGUCGGUGUUCAUUGUGAAGUCGUUUGGGGUGAGGCUCGCCGCAGAAGGACACCGGACUUUCAGCCUUUACUACUGCAGCUGGAAGUUUUCAAAGUCGCCGAGGGAAUUCUGUGAGUCAAAUUACGGAAAGGGGAGUGAAGCGAGGGAGAGGGAAACAGAUACCUCGCGGAUAUUUCAGGGGGAAAUGUUUCGAAUGCUAUUUGCUGAAGGAUCUGCUCGUUCGCGCACAUGAGACUUGGAAGAAGAAACAAUCAACUGCUAAUCCAGCAUUAGUUAAUUUGGAUAGUUGAUAGCAACAAGACAAGAUAUCGUCUGGUUAGAACAAGCUGAGAUUCGCACGUCCCUGGAGAGAGGCGAAUGGUGACGGUAAAUAAGGAUUUUAUUUAAAAUCCCUAGAAGAGCUGUGUCGAGGGAACUUAAUUGUUGGGCCAAGGGCGAGAACGAUUUCAUGAAUGGCGUGACGAGUCAACGAAUGAACAUAGGAAGCGGAGAACGUGCGACGAGGGGUUAAUUUCCUAUACUGGACGUAUCUGCUGGCAGAAGUGUCGGAAUUUUCCCUCCAAGUGUUUCCACCCCGUCGUCGCGUCGUCCUCGUUUCUUUUCGCCAUUCUUCUCGCUUCGUCGCGCGAGCGCGGACGCAUCGUUCAUCCUGAUCGUCGUGAUUCCCUCCGGGGGGGGUUUACGUAUGCCGGACGCAGUUCGGCGCCGAUUCAUCAAAAAGACCACCCAUCCCUUUUUCGCCAUUUAAGAAAAGUGCCGCCAGUCCUUCUCCCUGACAAAAAGGAAGGCGGUGGCAGCAUCGUUAGAGGCAGAUUCGCCUUUACCGAAGACUAGGAUCGCGAAACGAUCGGGACGCGGAGAAAGAGGAGGAACACUGCUUUACCCGUCCCCCUUGAUAAAGGUGUGCUCGAGAGGGCAUCCGGAGAUUGGAGUUUGCUAGCGAGCCAACUAUCGUUUCCUAUCUGCGACGACGACGACGACGACGACGACGACGACGACGACGACGUUGCGGCCGAAUUGUCCGCAGAAAAUUGUCUGUCGGAUGUUAGACGCCCGCAGCGGAAGUUUCUUGGUAGCCGUUACGAAGAAAUGUAA